GGCCCAAGAUAGCUCAGAUGGGAGAGCAUGAGACUCUUAAUUUCAGGGUGGUGGGUUCGAGCCCCAUGGUUGGGCCA